rnacentral:rRNA from 1 species
UACGUAGGGCGCAAGCGUUGUCCGGAAUUAUUGGGCGUAAAGAGCUCGUAGGCGGUCUGUCGCGUCUGGUGUGAAAUCCCAUGGCUCAACUGUGGGCUUGCAUCGGGUACGGGCAGACUAGAGUGCUGUAGGGGAGACUGGAAUUCCUGGUGUAGCGGUGGAAUGCGCAGAUAUCAGGAGGAACACCGGUGGCGAAGGCGGGUCUCUGGGCCGAUACUGACGCUGAGGAGCGAAAGCGUGGGGAGCGAACAGG